AUCGCUUCUCGGCCUUUUGGCUAAGAUCAAGUGUAGUAUCUGUUUUUUCGUGUUUAUUUAUUUAUUUAUUUAAUAAGAGGGUUUUGCUUUAGAGCAUGUUUGCUUGAUGGGGAGAGAGAGACAGACUGACAGGGAAAGUGAGAACUCACCCCUGGGAGGGGUGGCCAUGUCACAAUCUCUUCUUUGUUCUCCCACACACA
rfam:Tupaia chinensis contig76651, whole genome shotgun sequence.